rnacentral:rRNA from 1 species
UACAGAGGUCCCAAGCGUUGUUCGGAUUCAUUGGGCGUAAAGGGUGCGUAGGCGGGCAGGUAAGUCCGUGGUGAAAUCUCUGAGCUUAACUCAGAAACUGCCAUGGAUACUAUUUGUCUUGAAUGUUGUGGAGGUAAGCGGAAUAUGUCAUGUAGCGGUGAAAUGCUUAGAUAUGACAUAGAACACCAAUUGCGAAGGCAGCUUACUACACAAAUAUUGACGCUGAGGCACGAAAGCGUGGGGAUCAAACAGG